ACUCCUACGGGAGGCAGCAGUGGGGAAUAUUGGACAAUGGGGGCAACCCUGAUCCAGCAAUGCCGCGUGUGUGAAGAAGGCCUUCGGGUUGUAAAGCACUUUUAUCAGGAAAGAAAUCCAGUUGGUUAAUACCCGGCUGGGAUGACGGUACCUGAGGAAUAAGCACCGGCUAACUUCGUGCCAGCAGCCGCGGUAAUACGAAGGGUGCAAGCGUUAAUCGGAAUUACUGGGCGUAAAGGGUGCGUAGGCGGCCUGUUAAGUCAGAUGUGAAAGCCCUGGGCUCAACCUGGGAACUGCAUUUGAUACUGGCAGGCUGGAGUGCGGUAGAGGGUGGUGGAAUUCCCGGUGUAGCGGUGAAAUGCGUAGAGAUCGGGAGGAACAUCCGUGGCGAAGGCGGCCACCUGGACCAGCACUGACGCUGAGGCACGAAAGCGUGGGGGAGCAAACAGGAUUAGAACCCUGGUAGACUCUG
rnacentral:rRNA from 1 species